AAAUUGAAGAGUUUGAUCAUGGCUCAGAUUGAACGCUGGCGGCAGGCCUAACACAUGCAAGUCGAACGGUAGCACAGAGAGCUUGCUCUCGGGUGACGAGUGGCGGACGGGUGAGUAAUGUCUGGGAAACUGCCUGAUGGAGGGGGAUAACUACUGGAAACGGUGGCUAAUACCGCAUAACGUCGCAAGACCAAAGAGGGGGACCUUCGGGCCUCUUGCCAUCAGAUGUGCCCAGAUGGGAUUAGCUAGUUGGUGAGGUAACGGCUCACCAAGGCGACGAUCCCUAGCUGGUCUGAGAGGAUGACCAGCCACACUGGAACUGAGACACGGUCCAGACUCCUACGGGAGGCAGCAGUGGGGAAUAUUGCACAAUGGGCGCAAGCCUGAUGCAGCCAUGCCGCGUGUAUGAAGAAGGCCUUCGGGUUGUAAAGUACUUUCAGCGGGGAGGAAGGUGUUGCGGUUAAUAACCGCAGCAAUUGACGUUACCCGCAGAAGAAGCACC
rnacentral:rRNA from 1 species